GGAGUGUGCUGGGGGGGUGGGCUUAUCAAGGUGCAUGACGAAGUCCUUCAGAUGAUUCUCAUCUCAUCGUUAGGCCAGUCCUCAAAUAUAAUCAAGAAGCUACUAACCAAAGAUGGGAGACGGCUGCUGGAAGGAAAAGCCAUGCCCACAACGGGGUUUUAUUCUACUGUAAGCACCCCAAAGGCCUGGAUUUCAGUGCUGCGUCCCUAGGUGCUCACAACCGGGCACACACGGGUUCUCGAAUGAACUCCUGACUGCGCUCCCUGCUUGGUGGUCACGGUGGCAGAACCCAGGUCUACACUUCCAAGCACUCUGUGAAGGUCCGUGGAAAAGACACGAGACACUUUAAGUAAAGCAAGGAUAGAAUUUUCUGCAAUCGUUAUCUAGCCCAACAUCAUCGAGGAACCUGGCCCAUCUGAACUGUCUGGCAAAGGAGGUAACAUGUCUACCUUUGGCUAGCUUCCCUCCCUCCCUUUCUGCCUCCCCUCCUGUCUUCCACAAACAUUUAUGAGGGUUUGCUCUGCUGCAGGCACUGGUGCUGUGGGGAGGGAUGGGGAACAAACUGAGCCAGCUGUGGAUCCAGAAGUCAAACAGCUGAUGGGCUAGAAAGGGAGGCAACAGGUAAAUAACUGUAAUCCAGGGGAGAAAAAUAAUGCAUUUCAAAAUUAAACAAAACUUGUGAGAAUAAUACACAUACCCCGUGCCCAGAGAUUGGGUUCCAAUUUUGCCAAUUGGUCCAGCAAUGACCUUCAUAGUAAAGGAUCCAGUCUGGCAUCAUGGGUUGCACAUGGUUGUCACCUCUUUUUAGUCUCUUUAAUCUGAAACAAUUCUUCAGUGUUUCAUUGAUUUUUAUGAUCUUACCAAUUUUAAAGGUUAUGGGUCAGCCGUUGUAUAGAAUGUCUCCUGAUUUGGGAUUGUUUGAUGUUCCCUUAUGAUUAGAUCCUGGUAAUAUGUUUUUGGCUAGAAUAUCGCAGAUACUGUGCUCAAAUUUUGUUAUAUCCUCUUGGGGGGGGGUGCAUGAGUGAUUUUUCCUGCUAACGGUGGUGUUUACAUUCAUCAUUUGAUUUGCAUAAUGUUUUCCAAGUUUGGCCGCUACAAGUUACUUUUUAAGAAAAUGGGGAUUAAUACUUUGUGGGCAGAGACUUCAAGACCAUGUGAAAUUCUGUUUCCCACUUCAUGUUCAUUCACUAAUUUCAACAUCUUUGAUGUUUCCUGCCUGAAUUAAUUAUUACUCUAGUAAUAAUUAGUGUUGUGUGCCAAUCACAACAUUGUAAAUUCAACUAUACUCAAUAAAACUAUAAAAAAAUGAAAAAAAUUGCCAAAAAAAGGUUUUCUAAUGCCAUUUUCUCCCUUGUAUUUAGUAUGCAUUUUUAUUAGUAUUAUUUUUAUUAUUAUGACUUUUUGUUAUAAGGAAUAGCUUUCUCUCCUUAUUUAUGUGACUUUUAAUGUUUUUAGUUAUAUCAGUAUUGACACAUAGAUUCUUAAUUCCUAAAAACUCUUAUUAUUUACUUGGUUAUGAUCCAUUCCUGUAAUUAUUUAUUUUGAUGUUCAGUUUUCCCCCGACUUGGCAAGUGAGAGCUCCUUCAAGUUUGCUUCCAUGUCUUUUUGGUAUGACCUCAUUAUUCUUUGACCAUUUCCAUGCUUCCUGGUGUCAUAUGACAUUUC